CUGGCCUGGCUGGGGUUGCUAAGAGGGGGUCUGCCCCCUCAGCCCUGCACUUACCCUAGUGACCCCGUGCAGGCAACGCUAUCCUGGAGCUGUUGAAGGAGAAGGUGAACAAGCAGGCGUGGAGUGUACAUACUUUUUCCUAUCUUCAAGGCCGCGGGAAAGGUCCCAACCUUGGUUGGAAUUCAGCUGCUUCGGGUUCCAGUGGAGGUGAUACCUUCUUGCAGUGUGAGGCGUGAGUCUACAUUUGGUGACCUUGGCAACGAACAGCAGAAUUAGCGGUCAGAAGUACCUGGAAAGGUCCCUUCCAUCUGGGUUGAAGUGCGUUUUUCCAUUGAUAGACCUUUACGUAGACCCAAUCUCCUGCUUUAAGGUUGUGACAGGGAACAUCCGGUGGUUGAGGUAAGGCUCCUUGGACCUGGGCUGCAGCCUGAUGUUGAACCGGUUGUUGCUGAUGUGGGAGUCUCAGGAGAGCAGGGUUCGAACAAAGGUCCAGGAUAUCCUCUGCUGGCUCCGGUGGUGGGGGCGCCACGGGCAAUGCUGGAUACAUCGGAGCGGUGGCCGGCGUGUAAUUUGGGGGAGCAGCCAAUUUCUCCCGAACAGCUUUGAACUGCUGUUUUAAUUUUUCUUGAGAGUCUUUUAGACUUCUAGUUUGAGAUUCUGUCCGCCUUUUGGACAUUUCAUCAUACCAAUAAAAGUACAUGUCCCACUGGUAUUGUGGUGUUUUGGAUCCACGGGACUCUAAAGCCCCUCUUAAGUGCACUAUUUUAUCCCGAUCCAAUGUUCCUUCCUGUGGAAAAUGCUUUACGGGAUCAUCCCUAGUAUACCAGUUCCACUUAUCCAGGUACUUGCAAGCCUCGGGAGAAUAGUGUGUGUACAUGAAGUACGCCGGAGUCCCCUUAGGGGGGACGGGAACUUUUUUAGACUGACUUGUUCCCAUUUUCAGUCACACAGGGAGACGUAGGAGAGGCUUAUUUAGGAUGUCCGGGCCGCUCAGUGCCUUGCCCCGCAGUUUUUCACCGCCCAGACAAAAGGCUUCUGACCUGACACCGGCUCAUAAAAUGGAAAUGGGGAGGGAAACACAAGAGGGAUCCUUUCACUCCUGCUCUCAGCAGAAGCUACUGGGACAAGGGGUUUGGAAAAGACAAAAUCACUCAGACGCCCUGUCCACUGGGUCACGAGGUUCCAGCUGGGCCCCUUGCUUUCAACGCUACCUUUUUAGGCAGAAUCGGGGUGGGUAGACCCAGCCUUAGUCCCAGACCUGGUCAGUGGCUCAUUUUUCUAAAUGCACACACACACAUUCAUUCAAUAGCCAGAGAGAAAAAGACCAAAUCACUGGGAAGCCCUGUCCACUGGGUCACGAGGUUCCAGUUGGGCCCCCUUGCUUUCAAAAGUGCCCUGUCAGGCAGAAUUGGGGCGGCUGAACCCAACCGUAGUCUCAGACCUGGUCAGUGGCUCAUAUCUCUAAAUACACACACACGUGCAUUCUUUCAGUCAGCCAGACCUCCUCCCCCACACCGCCUGAGUUAAUUAACUACAAGCCCGAUGUGCUGUUGGAUGAAGGUGCUUCAAACAGUUUCUCCCUGAAUAAAAUGUACGUUACCAGACACAAAAUUGGAUCCUUUACCAGACAGAAAAGUUUAGCCGGCAGUAAGGUUCAGACUGACCUGGGUCUUGUCAUUACCCCUGGUGACACGUCGGCAUGACGACCUUGUCUUUUCUUCUCUCUUAGGUGUCUGGUGAGACUUGAGACCCCAAGCAUUCUGCUUCUGCCUUUUAUGUUCAACUUCACAGCUCAACAGGUACACCAACUUGUCGUGCUGGGACUGACGAGCAAUCCUAUCCUAAGUGUCUUCUGUUCCUCCUGAUUACCGCUGGGGGCUGUCGCACGGUUCAUCCCUUUUUGCCGUGAUGGAUGCUGGUGUCCAACUUGUACUUGUUUGCAUCCCUACUUCUCCCCGUGUGGUAGAGGCAGCAGGAAACCAGCUGGGCAGUCUUAGCGCUCCUUCUGGUUCCUUUGAAGGUCCCGCAAGUAGUGGGAGGCGAUCGACGGUCGUCUGGGUGUCAGCAUCGCCGUUGUAGCAGGGAGGGGACUGCGGAGGAGUCUCCCCAUCAGAAGCUGCGCUGGACCUUACUCAAGACCGGAAAUGGGCAUGUUGCUCAGAUUGAUUAAAGUAGAUCAGAGCCAUCCUGCAAUGUCGUCUUAAGAGUUGAUUUGAUGGUCUGAACUGUGCUGUCAGCCUGGCCAUUGGAUUGUGGGUACCCGGGGCUAGAAUGGGUGAUGGUUAUGCCCCAGUCGGUUGCAAAUUGUUUCAUCGUGUGACUUGCAAAUGGCACGUGAUCACAGACAAUUUCUCUAGGUAUGAAAUGGUGAGCAAACACAGACUUUGUUUUGCCUACUAUCAUGCCAGCUGUUUUGUCUGGCAGGUGCAAAACUUCAGGGUACUUGGAGUAAUAGUUGACUAGGAUCAAAUGAGACUGUCCCUGUUGGUCAAAAAUGUCUGCUGUCAGUUUUAGCCAAGGCAGGUCUGGGAUCUCAUGUGAGAUCGUGGGCUCUUUCUGAUUCCUGGGUUGGAGCUCUUGAGAAGGUGCACAAUUCGCAAUCCAUCACUCGAUGUGGGCAUUCGUUUUAGGCUCACUUUUCGUCUUGAGGGCGGGCUUCAACUCACCUGAGGUUGCAUAGGGAAUUUUUCUACAACCAUGCACAACUGGUGGUACCGCUGAGUCGACAUCGGUGUGGUGGGUACCAGGAAACUGGCCCAAACCUUCAAAAACGUCCAGGUAUAUUUUGAGACGGUCCGCCUUGGUUGCAGGUGCUGUCCGAGCCAUUCCAUGGACAUGUCGGAGAAGGUCUAAGGUGGUGCAUGCCACCCUACCACAUAUUGGUGGGUCACUAUUGUUUGUUAUAUAAAAAGUUAAAUCACGUUCAUUAGCACCAGAUUUGCAGCGUGCAAGGAUUGCACUUUUUGGUUGGAUGUGUGCACUGCUGAAGGCAAUCAAUGUAACAUGAGCUGGAGUCUUCCGCACUUUCCCUUUCAAAGGCUUUGCUACAUCUGCUGGGAUAAUGUUUGCUUCUGCUCCAGGAUCUCAUUUCAAAGCGACUGGCAAGCCAGCGAUCACGACUGUGCUAUACCAGGCAUUCUGGCUAUGAAAGGUCUGUGAAAGCUGCCUUGCAGCCAUUGGGACCAUAUAUAGGGCACUGGCUCCUUUUCCAGAUUUUGGACCCUCUGCCUUUGAUUUGCACAUUUUUGCAAAGUGGUUCACUCCCAAGCAUUUGUAACAACUUUCUCCAAAAGCUGGGCAGGACCCAGGCUUGUGUGUGUUUCCACACCUUCUGCAGGCUCUGCCUUUGUUUGCUUCAUUGCUCACCUGUGGAGCAAGCUUCGCUGGUGGCUUGCUUUGCUUUUGCAAAGUGCUCUGGCAGCUUGGCUUUUGCUCCCCUGUAUGCACGCUUGCUUCUGCAGACAUAACUCGGGCCUGAGCACUUGUGAGAGCCUUUGCUCUGCAGAUAUCCACAGGCUGCGCUAGGGUGAGGGAGGGAUUUAGCUGAAGCCUUUCUUUCAGGUUGCAGGCAGUUAUGCUGAAGACAAUUUUGUCCUGCAGCAUAACAUCCUCAGCGAGUGCAAAUUCACAAUGCUGUGCUCUGCUUCUGAGCUCCCUUACACAGUCAGCUAUGCCUGCAGCCUCACAUUGUAGCUAAGCUGCCAGAACUGCUACCUUUCAGAGACAGGGUUUUUCCUGGGUUUGCAGUACUUUUUGAAUUCUGCAAACACCUCAGGAAGGGUUUUGACACCCCUUGCAUGUUGGUGUCAACUUCUAGGGCUUUAUCCCCAGUGCAGUGAAGCAUGACUGCAAUUUUAUAAUCCUCUGCCUCUUCCGCAGCCUUUGUGACUGCAAGGUGUAAUCGAAGCCUCUGUUCCCAUCUCCUCCAAUCUCCCCAAGAUUUCCAGUGAAGGAGGAUGCUGGUGGAAUUUUGAAAUGCUCCAUGUUUUUCUUGGAAUGAAUGCUGCAACCCCCUUAAUCAGGAUGCCGGUGACUCGACCGAGAGACGGGUCACUUGUGACACCGUACAGUGUUUGCUGUAUGCCACCGGAUCCCAGGGACGGGGACUCGCUCAAACCUCCGCGCCUUUGGGGCCCCAUCCUCCAGUCACCGUUCAGCAGAGACCAGUGGAGUGGUAGAGAGCUUUAUCUUGAUUGGGAACAGGAUUCAUCAACUCACAUGCUCACACCAUGCAGGGAGAACUACAACUCCCCACCACUACAAACUGCACCCGCAGGGCAUCACGGGGAGAGACUGGGUGGUCCCGCUAUUGGCCCCUUGAAGGUACACAUCAUAUAGCACAAACAAUGCUCGCAUACAAAGGGGUGUGAUGGUGAAGCCUAAAGAGCUUGCCCAGGCUUCCCCAGCAGAGAUGGGGAGGCCUGGCCAGGGACAGAGGAGUGCACAUGCCCUCUCAUCUGUCCCGGCCUCCCCUGGCACACUACCUCUAUGCUAAUCACAAUUUGAUCCUGCUCAAGGACCUGGCCUUGGGUGCUGGGGACCACGGCCCCAGGAGCUGAGCUUCCAUGCUGGGCUCUGGGCUCCCUUCCUGCAGCACCAUGACUGCCCUGGUCGUCCUGGCCCUGCUCCCCCACGAGUGCUUGGGGCAGGGCUGGGGCUGGCAGCAGGGGUAGAGUCAGGGCCCUGGUGCCCAGCACCAGGUUGGGGCAGGUGAGGGGGGCUCCUGGAGGCUGUGGGGAGAGAUGUGCAUCUCACGGACAACCCCCUGCUCCCCACAAGCAGUCCAACCCCAGCCCUGACCCUCCAGCCUCAGCUCAGGCCACACCAGCCCUCUGGGCCACCUCUAGCCCCAGCUCCUUCUCCCACGGCCCAGCCCCUGCAGCUUCCCUGCCACCAGCACCCUCUGCCACUGAGACUCUUUCCCGGGCCUGUUUCCAGGAGCGGGAGGUGCUGGACUGUGAGGGGACCUUGUGAAGGUCAAGUGAGGCAAACAAAAAAUCACUUCAGAUUCAGAUGAUUUGGAGGACAGUGAUUCAAUUUGGUGAUUUGACUCACUGUCCUGGAUUAAUUCAGCCAGCCCCAGGUCCCAACUCUGACAAAAAUGAAGAAAAGCCCCCAGGUCACCAAGUACUGCCAGGUAGUGGGGUGGAUCCCCGCUGCCGCCUGCUGCAUGGGGGGCUCUGCCAUGAGCCCCCGAACCCGCAUGCCACUGCAGAAGCUGGUGAGUGGGGGGCUUAACUUUUUUUAAAGAACUGGGAACUGGGGCCAGGUUGGACAGCCAUGGUUCAGGGUGCAGGGUGGGGCUGGGGCAUUGGGCAUGGGUCAGG